rnacentral:tRNA from 1 species
GGGUGCGUAGCUCAGCGGGAGAGCGCUUCCUUCACACGGAAGAGGUCACAGGUUCAAUCCCUGUCGCACCCA